AACAAUCCGCUAGUUUUUGGCUUUAGGUGGCGUAUUUCACACACCUCAAGUCAUAUUGAGAAGGCUUUGGAAACUACCAUAGAGGCUUUCGAGGCUCAGGAGGACCUCACCUCGCGCUCGUUCAAUGAGUAUACUAGCUUUAUUGCAGGCCACCAAUGUUGCACUUUUUACAAAUCGAAAGCAAGACUCUCCACCAGCAAAAAGAUUGCAACUGGCUUUAUUGCCGGUAGUCGAACCCAAUCUGCAAUAUCUCUGAGCUACCUUAGCCAAACCCAGACUGAUAUACCUUCCUUACACCUGGGGUGACCCUGUGACCUCAUUCUGACCAAUGAGAAAAAAGAUAACUUGGACUUUCAUAAUUUUAUGAAGCCAUCUUACCACUUGUGGAUUUCUUUUACGUGAGAAAAUAAAUUCCUGAUUUAUUUAAGCCAC